GGAUUAACUUACAGCUCGAGUGGCACAAGCCCUGACUUUUGAAACCAGUUUUAACAGGAGUUAAAGGCACUGCAAAGACCGGGUCUAGCUAAACUGGGAUAGUGCGCCGUUAAGAGACAUCCCCAGGCUUCACAAGCUCUACAUAGCCACUGGACGCCGUUGCCCUUGUUUUCUGGGAAAGUGACACAAAUGCAUAACAGCUGUUGAUUGGCACUGCAUGAUUUAAUUGCCUCCUUAUCCGCUACAAGUUAUUCUGCUCCAGGCUGCGUGAACAAGAAAGGGGAAAUCUAAAAUUCCUUGGAGGAAUGGCACCAUUAAUAAUAACUUGUUUCAAGACUGACUGGUAGUCAUUUUCUAUUAAUAAGUUUGUGUUACUCUAACAAUGUUGUUGCUUAUGUUCAUGUGGUAAUUAAGUUGAAAGUUGGAAGUGACAGCGCCCACUGAGGAACAAUGUUUAUUCAAGUUUGUUUUAAACUGAAGUUAGAAUACUACACGUGACUGAUUGUUGUGCCCACCUACUCUUAAUACUCUGAUUUGUAUUUUUCCCACAUGGCUAAUUACCUCUGACAUGAUUGCACAUAUAAUGUGACAUGCAAGGGCAAGUAAAGGCAGAUCUUUAUUUGUCGUUACUCUGCCUUUCAGAGCAUUAAGGAGUAGCUUCAUAUUGCGGCUUGUUACCUAACUUGGCAACCGCAAGUAUCAAUUUGAUGA
ensembl:lncRNA